rnacentral:rRNA from 1 species
UACGGAGGGUGCAAGCGUUAAUCGGAAUUACUGGGCGUAAAGCGUGCGUAGGCGGUGAUUUAAGUCUGCUGUGAAAGCCCCGGGCUCAACCUGGGAAUGGCAGUGGAUACUGGAUCGCUGGAGUGUGUCAGAGGAUGGCGGAAUUCCCGGUGUAGCGGUGAAAUGCGUAGAGAUCGGGAGGAACAUCAGUGGCGAAGGCGGCCAUCUGGGACAACACUGACGCUGAGGCACGAAAGCGUGGGGAGCAAACAGG